AUUGAACGCUGGCGGCAGGCCUAACACAUGCAAGUCGAACGAGUGGCGGAAGGGUGAGUACUGUCUGGGAAACUGCCUGAUGGAGGGGGAUAACUACUGGAAACGGUAGCUAAUACCGCAUACCAUCAGAUGUGCCCAAAUGGGAUUAGCUAGUUGGUGGGGUAACCGAUCACCAAGGCCACGAUCCCUAGCUGGUCUGAGAGGAUGACCAGCCACACUGGAACUGAGACACGGUCCAGACUCCUACGGGAGGCAGCAGUGGGGAAGAUUGCACAAGGGGCGAAAGCCUGAUGCAGCCAUGCCGCGUGGAUGAAGAAGUCCUUCGGGUUUAAAAGUACUUUCAGCGGGGAGGCGUUACCCACAGAAGAAGCACCGGCUAACUCCGUGCCAGCAGCCGCGGUAAUUC
rnacentral:rRNA from 1 species